UUGAAGUUUUAUUUCUUUAGAAAGCAUCC
rnacentral:piRNA from 1 species